rnacentral:rRNA from 1 species
UGGGGAAUUUUGGACAAUGGGCGCAAGCCUGAUCCAGCCAUGCCGCGUGCAGGAUGAAGGCCUUCGGGUUGUAAACUGCUUUUGUACGGAACGAAAAGGUGCCUUCUAAUAAAGGGCGCUCAUGACGGUACCGUAAGAAUAAGCACCGGCUAACUACGUGCCAGCAGCCGCGGUAAUACGUAGGGUGCGAGCGUUAAUCGGAAUUACUGGGCGUAAAGCGUGCGCAGGCGGUUCUGUAAGACAGAGGUGAAAUCCCCGGGCUCAACCUGGGAACUGCCUUUGUGACUGCAAGGCUGGAGUGCGGCAGAGGGGGAUGGAAUUCCGCGUGUAGCAGUGAAAUGCGUAGAUAUGCGGAGGAACACCGAUGGCGAAGGCAAUCCCCUGGGCCUGCACUGACGCUCAUGCACGAAAGCGUGGGGA